UCCUUUUUCCAGUAAGCAGCUAUUCCUCUGUCUCUGUGAGUCUACUCUUCUCAUGGACGGUGGGAGAACGAGCUUUUGGAUGGAGAAGGGAACCAGGAAGAAACAUUGGCUGCUAUUAGCGAGGAAGCUGGAGCAUUGGCCACGGCUGAUGGGAACCAAGAGCUUAAACUCAAGUGUCAUAUAAACUACUGUUCUUCAGGACUUUUGUAAGUGGAAGUGGUUGUCCAAGAUGGUAAGAAGAAAAAGAAAGGUAGAAGACUAAGGAAGAAGAUGAAGAACAACGAAAAGUGGGUGCUUGGGUAAAGGAGGAGAACACAACAUUAUAAGAAGGUUGUGCUUGGACAUGUGAGGUGUCAUAAGGGAAGGAACUAUAAAAUGAUUUUCACCUGAAUUAUUUAUCGUGGCUGGAGGGGUUGUGAUUUCGGGACCGACCUCUGUUUUUGUUUUCUUUGCUGGUGGAGGAGCAAGAAAAACAUUCAGAUAUUUCAUUUGAUAUACUAUGCGUUUCAGAUCUGAGAUUGUUCAAAAAGUAAAAUUUAAGAUGAGACUUCUUAACAAAGUGAUUUCAAGCAAGUAUA